rnacentral:ncRNA from 2 species
AUUCCAUAUGCAGCAUCCAGUGCACCUGUGUUGACCGCACAACAUUGGUGAAAAGGGAAUUAGGUGAGAGUCCUAAGCGAUCCGGUCACUGUAUUUGGGGAGCGAUACUUUAAAAGUCCAUUGUACGCAAGUAUGAGAAGGAAAAGUAAAGCUGUGAUCCAUGAGUCAGGAAACCUGCUAGAUGCCAAAGGUGAGA